CAGUUCAGAUUGUAGGCUGAAACUCGCCUAUAUGAAGUCGGAAUUGCUAGUAAUCGCAGAUCAGCAUGCUGCGGUGAAUACGUUCCCGGGCCUUGUACACACCGCCCGUCACACCAUGAGAGUCGAUAACACCCGAAGCCUGUAGUCUAACCAUAAGGAGGACGCAGUCGAAGGUGGGAUUGAUAAUUAGGGUGAAGUCGUAACAAGGUAGC
rnacentral:rRNA from 1 species